rnacentral:rRNA from 1 species
UACGAAGGGGGCUAGCGUUGCUCGGAAUCACUGGGCGUAAAGGGUGCGUAGGCGGGUCUUUAAGUCAGGGGUGAAAUCCUGGAGCUCAACUCCAGAACUGCCUUUGAUACUGAGGAUCUUGAGUUCGGGAGAGGUGAGUGGAACUGCGAGUGUAGAGGUGAAAUUCGUAGAUAUUCGCAAGAACACCAGUGGCGAAGGCGGCUCACUGGCCCGAGUACUGACGCUGAGGCACGAAAGCGUGGGGAG